GGUUGCGAUCAUACCAGCACUAAUGCACCGGAUCCCAUCAGAACUCCGCAGUUAAGCGUGCUUGGGCGAGAGUAGUUCUAGGAUGGGUGACCCCCUGGGAAGUCCUCGUGUUGCAACCC
rnacentral:rRNA from 1 species